rnacentral:rRNA from 1 species
UGUGUAGGCGGUUGUUUAAGUUUGGUGUGAAAUCUCCCGGCUCAACUGGGAGGGUGCGCCGAAUACUGAAUGACUUGGAGUACGGGAGAGGAAAGUGGAAUUCCUGGUGUAGCGGUGAAAUGCGUAGAUAUCAGGAGGAACACCGGUGGUGUAGACGGCUUUCUGGACCGUAACUGACGCUGAGACACGAAAGCGUGGGUAGCAAACAGGAUUAGAUACCCUGGUAGUCCACGCCCUAAACGAUGCAUAUUUGGUGUGGGCAGUUCAUUCUGUCCGUGCCGGAGCUAACGCGUUAAAUAUGCCGCCUGGGGAGUACAGUCGCAAGGCUAGAA